CCUGAGUUCCAGACCAGCCUGGUCUACAGAGCAAGUUCCAGGCAGCUGGAGCUACAGGGGGACCCUGUCUCAAAAAAAUAAAAAAAAAAAGAGGCCUGGUUAUAAAGUGAGUUAAGAGUUUGAAGGACUCCCAAAAGAGGAUGUUAUUUAGAAGCUUGAGGUAAAUUCUUGGGAGUAUUAAGUAAGCACAUACAAGUUGUAUACCUACAGUCCCGCCUAAAUUACAAAGCUAGAUGUUUGUAUAUUCGGCAUUCAUAAUGUUGAGAGUCCCCAAAACAUUAAUUUACUUUGUGUUCAAAAGAAAAAGAGGGCUGGUUGUGAUGGGUCACACUUAAUCCCAGCACUCAGGAGGCUGUGGCAGGAGGGUUGACAUGAGCUCUCAGCCAGCUUGGGCUACAGAGUGAGAUGUCCUUUUUGGGGGGGUCUUUUUGAAACAGGGUCUCCACGAUGUAGCCCCAGCUGGCUUCAAUUCCCAGAGAUCCGCCUGCCUCUGCCUCUGCCUCCCAAAUGUUAGGAUUAAAGGUGUAUUUUUUGGACAUGGUCUCACGCUAGCCCUGGAUGGCCUAGAACUCCCCAUGUAGAUCAUGCUGUCCUUUACAACUCAGGGAUCCACAGUCUGCCUCUGCCUCCCAAGUGCUGGGAUUAAAGGUGGUGUGGUACCACAUCCAGUGAGGCUGUCUUAAAAGAACAAAACUAAAAACCAGCUGAAAAAGUGCAGGCUUAGACGUGCAUGAAUUAAUGAGGUUCACUCAAAAGAAGAUUAAAAUAAUAUCCAUCUGUAGGUUCCUAUAACCAGGUCACCAUUGACAACCUUUAUUCAAAUGUAAAAUGAAACAAAUGCAUAAAAUCUUCAACACGAAACAACUACAUGGUUGGAAGGAGGAAACUAGAGUCCAGUUUAAAAUAGCAGUGUUCGCUGUACUCAAAACCAGCAUGCUUGUUGCUUUAUGGUAUCUGAGCAAAUGACUGUUUUCUCAGCUGAUCCUGAGCAAUGACUAUCAUAGAAACACUUCUCUAACUGUCCUCCCUCACCCUGCAGUUCCUGGAUGAGCAACACUCAUCUGUGUCAAGAGUAGACUGAGACACAAUCAGAAUAACAUAAUAUCAGUUGUUAGAUUUUACUACUUCAAUAAAUACCAGUGUCACCACUAGAAAGGACAAAAUAAUGGACCAGCAGCAUAGCUCAACUGGUAAAAGUCCUUGCUGCCAAGCCUGACAGCCUGAGUUUGAGCCCCAGGACCUACAGGGUGGAGGGAGAGAACCAAUGUCUGCGAGCUGUCCUCUGACCUUUACAUACAUGCUGUGGCACACGCAUGCCCACAUGUAAAUUUAUAUAAAAAAUAGAGUGGAAAAGCUUCAAAUAGUAAUUUUUUUUUCCAUCCUUAACACACUCAGCAAAGGAAUCCUAUUAAAGACUUUAUUGUUUGUGUAUUCUGAGUGUGGGCACUGGUGCCAUGGCACAUGUGUGUAAGUUUGUGGGUAAUUUUGUAGUCAGUUUUCUCCUUCCAUCUUUAUGUGGGUUCCAGGGUUCGAACUCUGGUCCUCCGGCUUGGUGGCAAGUGCUUUUAACCACUGAGCCAACUUGCUGGUCCCCCAGUUUAUAUCUUUAAAGAAUAACUUCUCUGAAUCCUGGAAAGCAGAAUUUAGAAUCUAGUGACUUCCUCUUUCCAAGUGACAAUAUUUUAACCUUUUCAAACAAAGUUGGUAGACAGGUUGAUACCCGUAUAAUGUUGACUCCUGAUUCCAUAAAUAAUAUUCACUUUAGCAAUACUGGUCAAGCUCUCUUAUUUGGCAUUAUCCUUUUAAUUAGGCAAAUGAAAAUCCCAUUAUACCCAGAUUUGGGGGGCUAUUAAAUGCCACUUAUGAAAAGUUGUGGGGUUUUGGGGGGGCGGGGGGGUUGGUUUAUUCUGAGACAAGGUCUCACUGUAAUCCAGGCUGCCCUGGAACUUACAGCAAUUCACCUACCUCAGACUCUGCAAGUUGAGAAUGCCGCUGUCAAGCCACCAUGCUUGACUAGUUCUUUAAGAACUAAUUUUAGGGUUGUACUUACUGUGAAAAUGAAUUUUUGGCAAGAUUUUGGAAACAGAUUCUAAACAACUGAAUGAUGUAAACCUCCAGUAGUUUCAUUCCUUUAAUGAGCUAAGAGAUUUGGUUCAACUCACAGACUUGUUCCAGAACUCCUCCACUACAAAGUUGUAAUCUACUGAUAUCUUUAAAGAGUAGGACUUUGAGACAAGCAGAGACUGAAGUUUUUGUCUGAUGAUUCUUUAUUCUGACUGGUGCUGAUGGAAUCAAUAAGAAAGCCAGUGUAAUAACUAGUUUUAUAUUUCUUCUUAGAGAAAACUUGGAAUAUACACUCAGGGAAGACGAGUUGCUUGUUCUCGGUGUAGCCCUGGGCCUUCUGCAGAGGGACAGAAGGUCACAUUCUAGCCCUCCUGGCUGCUGAGGAUGCCCAACGCCUUCUGCAUCGCCACCUCUCCUUGCUGGAUAUAGGACAGCUCCUGGUCGCUGUAGAGUGUCUCUUCCACCUGAGAACCUGUAAAAGAGAAAGCACAUCCUUCCAGUGA